rnacentral:rRNA from 1 species
GGCAGCAGUGGGGAAUCUUGCGCAAUGGGCGAAAGCCUGACGCAGCGACGCCGCGUGGAGGAUGAAGGCCUUCGGGUUGUAAACUCCUGUCAGAGGAGAAGAAUUCCCGAGUAAUCGGGAUUGACGGUAUCCUCAGAGGAAGCCCCGGCCAACUACGUGCCAGCAGCCGCGGUAAGACGUAGGGGGCGAACGUUGCUCGGAAUUACUGGGCGUAAAGGGUGUGUAGGUGGCUGAGUAAGUCAAAGAUGAAAUCCCAAGGCUCAACCUUGGAACUGUUUUUGAAACUGUUCAGCUUGAGGAUAGUUUAGGAGGAUGGAAUUCCCGGUGGAGCGGUGAAAUGCGUAGAUAUCGGGAGGAACACCAGAGGCGAAGGCGAUUCUCUAAGCUAUUCCUGACACUGAAACACGAAAGCUAGGGGAGCAAACGGGAUUAGAUACCCCAGUAGUCCA